GCCCUUGUAGUUCAAUGGAUAGAACGAAGCUCUUCUAAGGCUUUGAUGUAGGUUCGAUUCCUACCAAGGGCACAA
rnacentral:tRNA from 1 species